GCGACAUCUUCAUACGAAAAUGAGUACCAAAAUUGUGUUUAAAACUUUAAGAUUAUCUGUCAUUUGUGAAAAAAAAAAAUUGUGCAGUUAUUUGUUUUUGUCUUGCGGUCAAGAUCUCAUCGUCGUCACUGGGAAAGAAAUCAACAACCAAACCAAAGAGUCCUCGUUUUUCCGAGAAGCAUCACGACAUGGCGCUUUCCAAUUAUAAUUGGAUUUUGUUACUUCGCCAUUCAUUCAAGCAUAAAUAAUGGAAUAAACACCUAUGGUUGGGUGAUAGUGGUCCAGUAUAACAUGCUUUAAGGAUAGAUUAUCAUUGGUGUAUGAGAUUGUGAUUGGUGGUGUGUUGCGGUGCCCGAGAGAAUUUUCUUUUUGGAGCGAAUAAAUCUUUUCAUGGAGACCGUCUUCUCAGUCGGUGGAAAAGCAAUGAAACAAAAAAGAAACUAUUGUGAAGUAAGCAAUUAUGUAUAUUUGUUUGGCAAAAGAAAAAUUUUAAAAUAAAAACAUGUGAUUCGGGUUUUAUUCAAUUGUUUCCAUUUAUGUAUAUUAUAUUGUAUUAUAUUAACUACCGAUUGUAUUAAGUUAUGUAGCUGGGCUACAGCUUCCAAGGCUAGAGAAAUGAUAUUAUUUGUACAUCAAAUUAGAAAUUUAAACCUUUUGAAAGAUUUAGUUUGUUUCGAAUUUAUAAAUUUUUGUUAAAAA